GACGAACGCCGGCGGCGUGCCUAAUACAUGCAAGUAGAACGCUGAAGAGAGGAGCUUACUCUUCUUGGAUGAGUUGCGAACGGGUGAGUAACGCGUAGGUAACCUGCCUUGUAGCGGGGGAUAACUAUUGGAAACGAUAGCUAAUACCGCAUAACAAUGGAUGACACAUGUCAUUUAUUUGAAAGGGGCAAUUGCUCCACUACAAGAUGGACCUGCGUUGUAUUAGCUAGUAGGUGAGGUAAUGGCUCACCUAGGCGACGAUACAUAGCCGACCUGAGAGGGUGAUCGGCCACACUGGGACUGAGACACGGCCCAGACUCCUACGGGAGGCAGCAGUAGGGAAUCUUCGGCAAUGGGGGCAACCCUGACCGAGCAACGCCGCGUGAGUGAAGAAGGUUUUCGGAUCGUAAAGCUCUGUUGUAAGUCAAGAACGGGUGUGAGAGUGGAAAGUUCACACUGUGACGGUAGCUUACCAGAAAGGGACGGCUAACUACGUG
rnacentral:rRNA from 1 species